UGGCGAACGGGUGAGUAACACGUGGGUGAUCUGCCCUGCACUCUGGGAUAAGCCUGGGAAACUGGGUCUAAUACCGGAUAGGACCAUGCUUUAGUAUGUGUGGUGGAAAGUUUUUUCGGUGUAGGAUGAGCCCGCGGCCUAUCAGCUUGCUGGUGGGGUAAUGGCCUACCAAGGCGGCGACGGGUAGCCGGACUGAGAGGUUGGUCGGCCACAUUGGGACUGAGAUACGGCCCAG
rnacentral:rRNA from 1 species